rnacentral:rRNA from 1 species
UACGUAGGGUGCGAGCGUUGUCCGGAAUUAUUGGGCGUAAAGGGCUCGUAGGCGGUUUGUCGCGUCGGGAGUGAAAACCUUGGGCUUAACUCAGGGCUUGCUUUCGAUACGGGCAGACUAGAGGUAUGCAGGGGAGAACGGAAUUCCUGGUGUAGCGGUGAAAUGCGCAGAUAUCAGGAGGAACACCGGUGGCGAAGGCGGUUCUCUGGGCCGAUACUGACGCUGAGGAGCGAAAGCGUGGGGAGCGAACAGG